UCAGGACCGAACCGUGCUGACGAUGAUGAGACGUCAGAAUGGCUACACAGGAGUGACAGCUUCAUCAGAGAUUCAAGUUGCGGGCAAGGGAUCGAUGCCCUCGGGCGUGGGAACAACCUGAAUUCACACGAGAUGAAUUUUGUACGUGGGGGUGGUAACCAAGAUGAUAAUCUUUCGACUGAAAAGGAUGUUGCUGAGUUAUUUGUUAAUCCAGAUGAGACUUGUGCUGUCAAUGAGGGGGAAAUUGCAGGCUAUUCACAAAUGGAUCUUUGAAUAACGCCAAUAUUGAUGACCAACCCAAUAUAGAUGAUAUUGGAGUACCACGUACAGGCACUAGGUACCUAGUACGGCUCUGCCGAUCCUAAUGCAGUGCAAGCAGUCUGCACUAUUUUACUCCAUCGCAUAAUAAUACUAUAGUCCAGACUCGGUACAUAAAAUUAGGUUUGAGUGCAAUAGAUCUUAGUGUGAAUAUAUAUUAUUGUUUUGUCAGAAAAAAUAAAGACUAUAAUCAACUUUGUAUUGUACCUGAGUAUUGAAUAUAUAUCUCUUCUCUACUACUAAAAAAGGCUAAGUAAGACUUUUUUUCGCUCGUCUUUUCGUUUCGUCCGUCGUCCGUU